GGCUCAGGAUGAACGCUGGCGGCGUGCUUAACACAUGCAAGUCGAACGAGCCUUCGGGCUAGUGGCGGACGGGUGAGUAACGCGUGGGAAUCUGCCCUCAGGAGGGGGAUAACGGCCGGAAACGGCCGCUAAUACCCCAUAUGCCGAGAGGUGAAAUGAAUUUCGCCUGAGGAUGAGCCCGCGUCUGAUUAGCUAGUUGGUGUGGUAAUGGCGCACCAAGGCUUCGAUCAGUAGCUGGUCUGAGAGGAUGAUCAGCCACACUGGGACUGAGACACGGCCCAGACUCCUACGGGAGGCAGCAGUGGGGAAUUUUCCGCAAUGGGCGCAAGCCUGACGGAGCAACGCCGCGUGAGGGACGAAGGCCUCUGGGCUGUAAACCUCUUUUCUCAAGGAAGAAGACAUGACGGUACUUGAGGAAUAAGCCACGGCUAAUUCCGUGCCAGCAGCCGCGGUAAUACGGGAGUGGCAAGCGUUAUCCGGAAUUAUUGGGCGUAAAGCGUCCGCAGGCGGCCCAGCAAGUCUGUUGUUAAAAAGUGGAGCUUAACUCCAUCCAGGCAAUGGAAACUGCUGGGCUAGAGUGUGGUAGGGGCAGAGGGAAUUCCCGGUGUAGCGGUGAAAUGCGUAGAUAUCGGGAAGAACACCAGUGGCGAAGGCGCUCUGCUGGGCCAUAACUGACGCUCAUGGACGAAAGCCAGGGGAGCGAAAGGGAUUAGAUACCCCUGUAGUCCUGGCCGUAAACGAUGAACACUAGGUGUCGGGGGAAUCGACCCCCUCGGUGUCGUAGCCAACGCGUUAAGUGUUCCGCCUGGGGAGUACGCACGCAAGUGUGAAACUCAAAGGAAUUGACGGGGGCCCGCACAAGCGGUGGAGUAUGUGGUUUAAUUCGAUGCAACGCGAAGAACCUUACCAGGGUUUGACAUCCUGCGAAUCCCUUGGAAACUUGGGAGUGCCUUCGGGAGCGCAGUGACAGGUGGUGCAUGGCUGUCGUCAGCUCGUGUCGUGAGAUGUUGGGUUAAGUCCCGCAACGAGCGCAACCCACGUCUUUAGUUGCCAGCAUUCAGUUGGGCACUCUAGAGAGACCGCCGGUGAUAAACCGGAGGAAGGUGUGGAUGACGUCAAGUCAUCAUGCCCCUUACAUCCUGGGCUACACACGUACUACAAUGCUACGGACAAAGGGCAGCAAACUCGCGAGAGCUAGCAAAUCCCAUAAACCGUGGCUCAGUUCAGAUCGUAGGCUGCAACUCGCCUACGUGAAGGAGGAAUCGCUAGUAAUCGCAGGUCAGCAUACUGCGGUGAAUACGUUCCCGGGCCUUGUACACACCGCCCGUCACACCAUGGAAGUUGGCCAUGCCCGAAGUCGUUACUCCAACCCGUAAGGGAGGAGGACGCCGAAGGUGGGGCUGAUGACUGGGGUGAAGUCGU
rnacentral:rRNA from 1 species